rnacentral:pre_miRNA from 1 species
CCAUCAUUUGGCUCGACUGUCACUGUCCAAGUUCUUGUCAGUCUUGUCGAAUGGUGGGU